GCUGCAGAGAGUUGAAGGCAGAAGCAUGGGGACAACGGACUACGGGGCUUUGAAAAUGCCAGGUCAAUGAUCCCCUGAAGACGAUUAAGCACAUAAGUGUAUUUUCCCCACAACUCUGGUCGGCUUUCCAUGACUGACAAAUCAAGAAUCCGGUGAAUGCACCAAACCCCAAAGGUUAUUAUCAAAUCUGCCCUCCAAACACAGCCCUCUCCACAAUUAGGAACUGAUGAAACCAGAAUGUUGGUUAUACCAGCCUCAUCAUUCUUCAAUGCAGAAACAGACUUCCUAUCAGAAUAGGAAUACUGAGGCUCACCCAUGUGAACCAUGCGAUUUCUCUCUCUUGUUUCAACUUCAUACAAACACAUCUCUCUAGCAGCCACAUGAUCAAUUAAAUCUUCAUCAGCUCCAUCGUUUUGCCUAAAUAGCCAAUCAGACCCUUCCAAUUUCAAAAG
rnacentral:misc_RNA from 1 species